rnacentral:rRNA from 1 species
AUUGAACGCUGGCGGCAGGCCUAACACAUGCAAGUCGGGCGGAUGAAGGGAGCUUGCUCCUGGAUUCAGCGGCGGACGGGUGAGUAAUGCCUAGGAAUCUGCCUGGUAGUGGGGGAUAACGUCCGGAAACGGGCGCUAAUACCGCAUACGUCCUGAGGGAGAAAGUGGGGGAUCUUCGGACCUCACGCUAUCAGAUGAGCCUAGGUCGGAUUAGCUAGUUGGUGGGGUAAAGGCCUACCAAGGCGACGAUCCGUAACUGGUCUGAGAGGAUGAUCAGUCACACUGGAACUGAGGCACGGUCCAGACUCCUACGGGAGGCAGCAGUGGGGAAUAUUGGACAAUGGGCGAAAGCCUGAUCCAGCCAUGCCGCGUGUGUGAAGAAGGUCUUCGGAUUGUAAAGCACUUUAAGUUGGGAGGAAGGGCAGUAAGUUAAUACCUUGCUGUUUUGACGUUACCAACAGAAUAAGCACCGGCUAACUUCGUG